GGCGGCAUAGCCAAGCGGUAAGGCCAAGGUCUGCAAAACCUUUAUCACCGGUUCGAUUCCGGUUGCCGCCU
rnacentral:tRNA from 1 species